ACGGCAGGAAAAUCAUCACUUUUUAAAGUAAUUCUCUUUGGAGAUGGUGGAGUUGGAAAGAGUUAUCUUAUGCACAGAUAUGUAAUUAAUAAGUUUGAUACCCAGCUCUUUCAUACAAUAGGUGUGGAAUUUUUAAGUAAAGAUUUGGAAGUGGAUGGACAUUUUGGUACCAAGUAGAAUUGGGACACAGCAGGUCAGGAGUGAUUCUGAAGCCUGAGGAUGCCAUUUUACAGAGGUUCUGACUGCUGCCUGCUUACUUUUAGUGUUGACAAUUCCAAAGCUUCCAGAACUUAAGUAACUGGAAGAAAGAAUUCUUAUAUUUCGCUGAUGUGAAAGAACCCAAAAGCUUUCCUUUUGUAAUUUUGGGUAACAAGACUGACAGUGAACAGCAGGUGUCUGCAGAAGAAGCCCAAGCCUGGUGCAGGGACGGCAGCGACUAUCCUUAAUUUGAAACAAGUGCAAAAGAUGCCACAAAUGUGGCAGUAGCAUUUGAAAAGGGGGUUCCAAGAGUUCUUACUACCAGGGAUAGGUCAGAUCACUUGACUCAGAGAGUGAUGGUCUGACUUCAUCGAAACCAUUGGUCAAUCUUCAUUGAAAGCCCAAGCCUAGCUCAUCUUAAUGUUGA